rnacentral:lncRNA from 1 species
AUCUGGAAGAACUUUUGGUUUUAGGAUGCUUGUUUUGUUUUUCACUUUAACUUGCUAGGGGCUGAAACUAAGAUAAACACUCAUUGGCUUUUUAGAGCAUCUAGAUUCGUGUCUGUCCGGGAGGGAUGCACUUUAGAAUCACCUGAGGAUCUUUUACAGGCCUUUUCCACUUCUGUGUCUAGAUCCAGCAAGCUGGACUUUCUUCCUAACUCUUGUCCGGGCACUGCCCCCAGACCCCGGAGAGGAAGAAAGCCUAGGAGGCGGCCGUUGGCGCGGCUGCCCACAUUGGGGAUCCUCUGCUGGCGGAUCGCGGAAAACCCACGCGCUUCAGGUCUGUGGGUCCAGGCGGAUCCCUCACGGAGGGAGCGGAAGGAGAGGAAGGGUUAAUUCAAACUGCUAGAAAAGCCAAAAGUCAAUGUGAAAACGCUGAGCUGCAC